AAGGCACGAAGCUCUGUCAGCUUUGUAACAGAAGAACAUAAAGCCUUCCCAUGUUCCUU
rnacentral:sRNA from 1 species